rnacentral:rRNA from 1 species
AGAACGAACGCUGGCGGCAUGCCUAAUACAUGCAAGUCGAACGAACACUUCGGUGUUAGUGGCGCACGGGUGCGUAACGCGUGGGAAUCUGCCCUUGGGUUCGGAAUAACAGUUGGAAACGACUGCUAAUACCGGAUGAUGACGAAAGUCCAAAGAUUUAUCGCCCAGGGAUGAGCCCGCGUAGGAUUAGCUAGUUGGUGAGGUAAAGGCUCA